GUCAGGAUGGCCGAGCAGUCUAAGGUGCCACAUUAAGGUUGCAGUCUCCCAUGGAGGCGUGGGUUCAAAUCCCACUUCUGACA
rnacentral:tRNA from 1 species